rnacentral:rRNA from 1 species
UACGGAGGUGGCAAGCGUUGCUCGGAAUCACUGGGCGUAAAGGGCGCGUAGGCGGGGAGGUAAGUCGGGUGUGAAAUCCCUCGGCCCAACCGAGGAACUGCGCCCGAGACUGCUUCUCUUGAGUCCCGGAGAGGAAGAUGGAAUUCCAGGUGUAGCGGUGAAAUGCGUAGAUAUCUGGAGGAAUACCGGUGGCGAAGGCGGCAUCCUGGACCGAGAUUGACGCUGAGGAGCGAAAGCUAGGGGAGCAAACGGG